AAUAUUCGGGGCAUAAAUAGCAAUGAAUACAUAACCAAUAUUCAGGGCAUAAAUAGCAAUGAGGAUAUAAUUAAUAUUCAAGCUACGAAUGAUACGAUUUGUGCAAAAAAAACAGAAGAAACUUCCAAUUAUAUAAAAACUAUUUACCUUGAUACCACUUAUGCAUUGCAUAAAAAUAACAUAUUUGGUCCACAAUUUUAUAUAAUUAAUUUUGUUAUUUAUUUGUGUAAAGACAAAUUAAAAAAAAAUGCUGAUAUGAUAAACACAUCGAAUAAAAAUAGUUUUAAAAGUCGAGCAACUAAAAAAGUUAAAAAAGAAGAAAAAAUUACAUUAACAAAAGGUGAUGGUAGUAGUGGCGGUAAUAAUAAUGGUAGUAAUGGUGGGACAGAAAAGAAAAUAAUAAAAAUAAUCGAAUUUAUUACCACUGAAGAUAAUGCAAAAAGUUUUGCAAAUUGUAAAGACAAUAUUCGCACAAUAAAAAUGGAAAAUGUUAACAAAAGUUCUGAAAUUAAAAAAAAGCCAAUUUUACUACACAAUUCAUCCUUAACUGCACCAUCCACUGAUUUAGUUCCGGUAGAACGAAUAAAAAAAACAUUAUUUAUGUUCGGUACAUACAAUUUAGGAAAAGAGAAAUUAUAUUUAAGUGUGUCUGAAGCGUGUGAUAUGAAGAUAUAUUUUAAAAGUACUAAAAAAAAAGAUAUGUUAAUGUCAUAUUUAUGUAAUAAAAAUAUUUUAAAUAGAAUAACUGAUAAUAAAUUAGAAGCACAGAUACAUAUUGUUGAUAUAAACUAUUCAAGCAUAUUUCCUAAAAUAGAAAAAGAAAAGUUCCUUAAUUUGAUAGAUGAAGAAAUAGAAAAAGAAUUUGACGAUUUUUUUUAUUUUAUUCCUACAGGAUGGAUAAAAAAAUAUGCAAUGUAUGAACACAAUGACAUUACUGUUUGUUUAAUACCUUAUAGUGAACAUUCUAAUUUAAACGAACUAAAAUUGUUUAUAAAAAAUACCAAACCAUGUAAUAUUGUUCCAACUGUUUUUGAUAAUAUAAAAAAAAAAAAAGAGAUUCUAAAUAUAUUCCAUCCUUAUCUGAAUUUAAAAAUGGAAACGAUUCAAUUCUUUAAAAAAAAAAAAAAAAACUCUCUAGAAAUAAAAAAUAGAAAAGUAACAAAGGAAUUAGCGCCUUUAAAAGUAGCGGCACAUCCAAAGAAAAAAAAAAAAAAAAAAAAAAAAAAAAAAAGAACAAGAAAAAAAAAAAAAAACAAGGAAAAAAAGAAAAAUGUAAAAAACAAAAAAAGUAACAAGAAGAGUAGCAAAAAAGACGAAAAUAAGAAUGAAGAUUCAUCUAAGGAAGAUAUUAAUACACUGGAAUCUUUUAUAGACGGAAAAGAAAAACAUAUUAAAAAUGAUGUAGAUAAAAAAAUAACUGAUAAAACUUUAUUACCUGAAAAUGUAAUAUUGGACAAAUCGAUGGAAAAAAAAAGUUUAAAAAAAAAAAAAUAAAGAAAACUUCCGAUACGGAUGUUGAUGAUUGUGCAGGUGACAUUAAUCAAAAGAUGGAGUGUUUAGAUAAUAAAAAAAAAGUAAAGAAGAUGACCCCA
ensembl:lncRNA